UACGUAGGUGACAAGCGUUGUCCGGAUUUACUGGGCGUAAAGGGCGCGUAGGUGGCGGGCCAAGUCAGUGGUGAAAGCUCGAUGCUCAACAUCGAGUCGGCCACUGAUACUGGUUUGCUUGAGCACUGUAGAGGCAGAUGGAAUUCCGGGUGUAGCGGUGGAAUGCGUAGAGAUCAGGAAGAACAUCGGUGGCGAAGGCGCUUUGCUGGACCAUAACUGACACUCAGGGACGAAAGCUAGGGGAGCGAAUGGG
rnacentral:rRNA from 1 species